rnacentral:rRNA from 2 species
AAAUUGAAGAGUUUGAUCAUGGCUCAGAUUGAACGCUGGCGGCAGGCCUAACACAUGCAAGUCGAACGGUAACAGGAAGCAGCUUGCUGCUUCGCUGACGAGUGGCGGACGGGUGAGUAAUGUCUGGGAAACUGCCUGAUGGAGGGGGAUAACUACUGGAAACGGUGGCUAAUACCGCAUAACGUCGCAAGACCAAAGAGGGGGACCUUCGGGCCUCUUGCCAUCAGAUGUGCCCAGAUGGGAUUAGCUUGUUGGUGAGGUAACGGCUCACCAAGGCGACGAUCCCUAGCUGGUCUGAGAGGAUGACCAGCCACACUGGAACUGAGACACGGUCCAGACUCCUACGGGAGGCAGCAGUGGGGAAUAUUGCACAAUGGGCGCAAGCCUGAUGCAGCCAUGCCGCGUGUAUGAAGAAGGCCUUCGGGUUGUAAAGUACUUUCAGCGGGGAGGAAGGUGUUGUGGUUAAUAACCGCAGCAAUUGACGUUACCCGCAGAAGAAGCACCGGCUAACUCCGUGCCAGCAGCCGCGGUAAUACGGAGGGUGCAAGCGUUAAUCGGAAUUACUGGGCGUAAAGCGCACGCAGGCG